rnacentral:rRNA from 1 species
UGGGGAAUAUUGCACAAUGGGGGAAACCCUGAUGCAGCGACGCCGCGUGAACGAAGAAGGUAUUCGUAUCGUAAAGUUCUGUCCUAUGGGAAGAUAAUGACAGUACCAUAGAAGAAAGCUCCGGCUAAAUACGUGCCAGCAGCCGCGGUAAUACGUAUGGAGCGAGCGUUGUCCGGAAUUAUUGGGCGUAAAGGGUACGCAGGCGGUUUAAUAAGUCGAAUGUUAAAGAUCGGGGCUCAACCCCGUAAAGCAUUGGAAACUGAUAAACUAGAGUAGUGGAGAGGAAAGUGGAAUUCCUAGUGUAGUGGUGAAAUACGUAGAUAUUAGGAGGAAUACCAGUAGCGAAGGCGACUUUCUGGACACAAACUGACGCUGAGGUACGAAAGCGUGGGGAGCAAACAGG